GCUUACAGCCAUAUCGCUUAGAAAGCAUCGGUUCUCGUGCGAUCACCGAAGUUAAGCAACAUCGAGCCUAGUCAGUACUUAGAUGGGUGACCGCUUGGGAAACCUAGGUGCUGUAAGCG
rfam:Octopus bimaculoides Scaffold4752_contig_173, whole genome shotgun sequence.